rnacentral:rRNA from 1 species
UGGGGAAUUUUGGACAAUGGGCGAAAGCCUGAUCCAGCAAUGCCGCGUGUGUGAAGAAGGCCUUCGGGUUGUAAAGCACUUUUGUCCGGAAAGAAAUCCUUGGCUCUAAUACAGUCGGGGGAUGACGGUACCGGAAGAAUAAGCACCGGCUAACUACGUGCCAGCAGCCGCGGUAAUACGUAGGGUGCAAGCGUUAAUCGGAAUUACUGGGCGUAAAGCGUGCGCAGGCGGUUUGCUAAGACCGAUGUGAAAUCCCCGGGCUCAACCUGGGAACUGCAUUGGUGACUGGCAGGCUAGAGUAUGGCAGAGGGGGGUAGAAUUCCACGUGUAGCAGUGAAAUGCGUAGAGAUGUGGAGGAAUACCGAUGGCGAAGGCAGCCCCCUGGGCCAAUACUGACGCUCAUGCACGAAAGCGUGGGGAGCAAACAGGAUUAGAUACCCUGGUAGUCCACGCCCUAAAACGAUGUCAACUAGUUGUUGGGGAUUCAUUUCCUUAGUAACGUAGCUAACGCGUGAAGUUGACCGCCUGUGGAGUACGGUCGCAAGAUU